rnacentral:lncRNA from 1 species
CAUUUACCGAGAUUAAUAUCACGUGAUAUAAAACAUUUACCGAGAUUAAUAUCACGUGAUAUAAUACAUUUACCGAGAUUAAUAUCACGUGAUAUAAAACAUUUACCGAGAUUAAUAUCACGUGAUAUAAAACAUUUACCGAGAUUAAUAUCACAUGAUAUAAAACCUCUAUAAACAAAAUCUGGUUAAAGAGAAAAAAAACAAGAGGAUGACAAAAAGACAGCAAUCUGUUCACUGUUUAGCAAUCAAAGACAAAAACUCAUGAAAAUGGUAAUUGACCAAAUGUUGACCUUGACUUAGUUAUCUGACAAAAUAUAUAGAUAUAUUCAAUUGGUUGAACAUUUAUAAGGUUGUUUCAUGGGAGGGACAUACAGAUCCUUCUUUAAUCAAUCAAUUGAGGACCACAACUCUGAUCUACAAAAGUAAAAAUGUCAAUGUUUGACAACUUUUACAUGCAUGUAUUUAAUUUGCCAUCAGAAACAAACAAAAAAUGUGUCUGAACAUGAGCGGCUGGUGGUUCUGAAGUUAAUCCCAUCAAAAACAGCAUAAAUAACCAUUUUCAUAACAAACAAGGACCAACAAAAACUACUGAAUGGCAAUAACAUUCAUAUCAAAAAAAAAUAUUUAAAGGUUUAAACAAUUAUCUAGGAAUUGCAGGAAGGAACAUAAAGCACCAUUUUUCAAUCAGUCGAGGAAGAUAACUCCUGUCAUACAAAAAUGAAAAUGUCAAUAACAAACUUAAUUUUGUCAUACAUGUAAGUAACAACAUAUCAUUGAAAAUUUUUAGAUUGUUUGAAAGUUUUUAAAUUCACUCAACUACAAAGACAUCAAGCCCCAUUUUCCAAUCAAUCAAAGACCAUUUCUACUGAAAGCUGUCAAUCUAAAAAAAAUCUACUUAAAUUAGAAAAAUUAGAAAAACAGGUUGGUUUUACUGUUUUAAAUGUAUUACACAGAUAUGACAUAAAUCACUCAACAUCAUUACAGUAAAUGAUGUACUAACUUGGGGUUUUGGAACUUGCGUCAGAUGUUCAGACUCCUUGAUUUUUUUUCCAUAUGAUAAAAGGUAAAAUGUUUUGCACCAUAACACACAUUUAUCUUUUCAUACAAGACUUAUAAUUGCUCAUAAAAGGUCUUUCACCAAAUUAAAGCAGAUUCUUGAUUUCUUUUCUUUUGAUUUAAUCAUGAGACCCAAAUAAUACCAAUGGAAUAUAAGGUAAAAGUCUCAGUCAGCCAUUCCCAGCACUUUUCUAAAAUAAAAAAUAUCUCGAAAAGAAGCUCCAUGACCUAUCAAUAUUUUUAGCUUAUUUUGUUCCUUCACUAAUGUUCUUCCGACUUUAAAGUAUCAAUUUCAAAUUCUUGAUUUUUUUACUUUCACCUAAGUGAAAUCCUUAAGCUUAAGUACAAAUGAACUGCAAAGAAAAUCCUUUAUAUUGAUAUUGGCCUCAAUCUUGUCAUAAAAAAAAUACAUAUUUUAUCUUUAAAUGAAAUUCGAUCAGUUGUCCUCAGGUAAUCCCAUUAAUUGACAUAAUUCACAGAUGGCACCACCAUCAAUCAAUAAAGGACAAUAACUCCCAGAAAGUAAAAGUGCAAAAUCUAAUUAAAUUUUGUUGUUUGUCAUUAGACAUUGUCACUAGAUUCAAAUCAGAACAUUUGAAGUGGAAAAAUUUGUUCUGAUGUUAUUGCAGGGUAACAGUUGGAGCUGCCCACCAUAAACUAUCUCAAAUCAAUCAUCAUCAUCAUUUUCAUGUCAAAUAUGAAGUUAUAGCUUUUUGAUAAAUCUACCUUUACCAAAGUUUGUUUUAAAAAAAACAAAAUACCAAUAAUUGUCUCUAUACAUCUUACAGUACAUUUUAUACAGCUGUAUACCAAAUCUUAAAUCUAAUUUAACAAUAUUUGAUCAUAGUUUGCCUAGAUACAAAAUAAUGUUCAUUUAAAA